rnacentral:pre_miRNA from 1 species
UUUAAGUGUAGCCAUAAUUUUCCGUGCCCAAUUUUAAUCGUCCGUCUUAUUUAAAAAAAUUUAAAAACAUAAGUCAUGAAUAAAGUAUUGUUCAUAUUUUAUCAUCUCAUAACAACAAAAAUACUAAUUAUAAAAAAAAUUCAAAUAAAACGGACGAUCAAAGUUGGACAUGGAAACUCAUGGUUGCACUUAAA